UAGAAUAUUUUAUUAUGUGAAUAUGUAGUUGAAAAUGAGUAUGAAAAAUAAAUUAAAGUAAAGUAGAGUAAAUUAAAAGCCACAAAAUAGGGUUUAAUUAACUUCAAUAUUAGAGGGACAUAAUAUUAUUAUUAUUAUUGAAAAUGAUGUUAAUAAUAACGAUAUUUUGGUAAAAAAACAUGGAAACAAUGAAACGAUGACAGCACGUCUGGCCUUGCUAAAAUAGCAAAAAAAUAAAAAUAAAAAAAAUAAAAAAUAAUAAUAAUAAAUUAGAUACUUAGUUGAGAGUAGCUUAUAUUUGGGAUAAUUACUCAAAAAAACUAAAAAAUAAACAUUUUAAUAUGAUGGGCCAUAAUGUAACGUACUCUAUUGGCGUAAUCCUCCAAAUGACAUGUUAAUUAUAG
rnacentral:lncRNA from 1 species